GACGAACGCUGGCGGCGUGCUUAACACAUGCAAGUCGAACGGAAAGGCCCUGCUUUUGUGGGGUGCUCGAGUGGCGAACGGGUGAGUAACACGUGAGUAACCUGCCCUUGACUUUGGGAUAACUUCAGGAAACUGGGGCUAAUACCGGAUAGGAGCUCCUGCUGCAUGGUGGGGGUUGGAAAGUUUCGGCGGUUGGGGAUGGACUCGCGGCUUAUUAGCUUGUUGGUGGGGUAGUGGCUUACCAAGGCCUUGACGGGUAGCCGGCCUGAGAGGGUGACCGGCCACAUUGGGACUGAGAUACGGCCCAGACUCCUACGGGAGGCAGCAGUGGGGAAUAUUGCACAAUGGGCGGAAGCCUGAUGCAGCAACGCCGCGUGCGGGAUGACGGCCUUCGGGUUGUAAACCGCUUUCGCCUGUGACGAAGCGUGAGUGACGGUAAUGGGUAAAGAAGCACCGGCUAACUACGUG
rnacentral:rRNA from 1 species